UUUUAUCUUUUAACUGCCUUUUAACCCCUCUGAUGCCCAUCACUAUGUGUAGUGUCUUGUGGAGAAUAAGAGCUUAAUACCUUGCACUGACCCUGCUGCUGUAGCAUCACUAGAAUGUUAUCCUCAGCUUCAAACACACAUCACUGACUCACCUCUCUUCACCUUAGAGCAAAAUUCCAGAAAUGUAAGAAUCUUAGAUGGAGAAAGGAUUAAGAGGAGGAAAGAGGACAGGUAUUUAUUGGUUACCUUCUGUAUACAAAGUAACAGUCUUUGUUAGUGUAUAAACAUCUUCUCCUGCAGAGGAAGAGUAACAUAUUGGAGUGAAUUGAUUUAGACAGGAUAACAAAUGUGGGUGUCACUGCUUAGAACUAGAGUCCAUAAACUUCUGACUCUAACUGAAAAACAGCUAGUGUCAAGGUGAGUUUGGAUGGAUCUUAACUCAGCCAGAUACUCAUUAAUGAGAAUGAUGGUGAAAGGGUUGGGGAUGUAAGUUGGCCUCAGUAAGAAAACCCUUGUAAAUUUAAUGAGAGCUCAGGAGAGAUUUCUAUCUUGUAAGCUUCACGGUGUUCUGGCUUUAGGUUAAGCCACAAAGCACCUUGAUAACUCUAAUAUAAAAGCUUAGGGCACUUGGGGUUCUCUGGAGUAAGUCAACUUCCAAAACAUGUUUGACAAAACUGGUCUAAAUGCAGACAUCACCCUGUGAGUAAGAAAAAGACUUUGCUCAUCACCCCCUUUCACAAUGGGAAAAGUGAGGUAUAAACCAUUACAGCGACUUGCCAAUUGUUCCACGACACAUCACUGGGCCUCUGUCCUAGCAGGUUAGUCUGGUGCUCAUCCUAGAGUGAAAAUGGUCACUAGCCACUUCAUGGCUAGCAACCACCAUUCAUAUAUCACAUAUACUAGUGGCAACUUUUAAGAAAAUUGGGCAACACAAAUAGAAGGGGUCACCUGCUCCAAGGAACUUCAUCAAGAUGGACACACAGUUCAUUAAGCUCCAGUGCUAUUGAUAUAGAGCCAUGGUUCAUCAAAGCAAAGGUUGACACCCAGUUUAAGUGCUAGCUCAUAGAAUAAAGGCUGCCGUGUCAUGGCUCCAGUUUACAAGGCUCAGACCCAAUGCCAAUAAAAGUUCUUCCUGAUUCUGGUCUCUGUGUCACUAAUUAGGGAUUACAAUCAACUGCUUCUGUUUCUCAUGCAGGGCAUCGAGCAUCAUGGAACAACUCAGAAGAACAAAAAGUAGCAUCGGGCUGUUGCUAUGGAGACCUAAGAACCAUCUGAAUUGCUGUGGCAUCAUAAAAGCAAAAUCCCAAUCAUCAGUCUUUAACUAUAGGGCUGUUGAAAUCUAUCUCAUAUUUUUAGAAUGUGUGACAUUUAACACACUGAUGAAUAUUUCCAGCUUCAGAAUAUAUUCUUUGCUUUCACAUUUAGACGGGAGUUUUCAGUGCAACUGGUUGGAUAUUUUUUUUUCCUCCUGGUACUGAAUACAAGGUUUUGUGAAACAAGUCUCCUCCACAAUCUUGUUCAUCCAGACUGGCCUCUUCAAACCUUCUGGUUUAGGUUGCCUCUUAAUCAAUUAAUCCACCAAGAAUCACGCACCCAGGGAUGUGCCUUGCUUUGAGAGUUGUGCUAUGGCAAUGGGGCAGCCUUUGGUGACACUUGUAAGUAUUCUUCCCUCUCCCCAGCUCCUGGCAACUACUAAUCUGUGAUCUGUCUCUACAGAUUCACCUAUUCUGUCAUUCAUAUAAAUGGAAUCACAUAAAAUGUGACCUUCUGUGUAUGGCUCCUUUAACUCAGUACAAUGUUUUUGGGGAUCAUCUGUGUUGUAGCCUGUAUCAAUACCUUAUUCCUUUUUAUCACUGAAUGAUAUUCAUCAGGUUAUUUGUUUAUGCAAUCAGCAGUUGAUGGGUAUCUUGAGUUGUUUCCACUUUCUGGCUAUUGGAAUAAUGUUUCUCUGAAUGUGUGUGUGCAUGUAUUUGUUUGAGUCCCUGCUUUCAGUUCUUGGGGUCUAAACCUGGGAGGGGAAUUGCUGGGUCACAUGAUAAUUCUAUAUUUAACUAUAUAAGGAAAUACCAAAUUGUUUUCUACAGUAGUUGCACCAACGUCUGGAUUUAAGCUGAGAGCCUGAUUUAAUCUGAGAGCCCGAUUUAAUCUGAGAGCCUGAAAAGAUUGGAUGUAGGUGUCUAAAGCCACUUUCUGCCUUUCUUAUCCCCCAGCAGGUGACCAGGCAUGAGAACCAGCUGUAUUCACUUCCUUAUGGGAGAGACAAGUUUUACCUUCCCCAAUAAAACAGGCAUUGUCGGCAGAAAGCAUGACAGGUCAAAAGGAGAAAUAGAAGAGGUUGAUAAAAACAGGCAAAGCAAAUCAAGAUCUUAAAGAAUGGCCUUUCCACUACAUCUAGGAAUCAUCCUAAAGAAGUUGUCUUAAGAUGGCAUAACUAUUUAUAGAAAAGGAACUCAUGACAGAAUUAUUUUCAUAGUGAAACUUAAAUACCCAAUCUGCAAGACAAUUUAAUCCUAUUGAGAUACAUCCAAUUGUAUUUUUAACCACAUUUUGUCUGUGAAAGUCUUCACAAUAGAAUACUAAUUGGAGAAACAGUUAAUUACACCACUAUAUAUUAUGAUGUCAAGUUAGAAAAGUGAGGUUAUAUAGUUAUACACAAACAUCCAUGUGUGUGUGUAUGUAGUGUGCAUGCAUGAAAAACAGAAGGAAAUAUGCCAUAUCUUUACAAUGUGAUCCCCUGUGAUUAUUAUUUUCAUUUUUAUAUUUGUCUCCAUUUCCCAAACAAUCUGAGAGUAAAAGAAACAUGCAACAACAAACCACUGGUGAGAUACCAGGAUAGUCACCUGUUUCUUCAUUAGUUCACCCAGCUAUACAUUCCUAUAUUCACUCAUCAACCUCAUACCAAGUCCUUUCUUCACACCACUGGGUUAAGCACUGAGGAGGCUGGUGGUAAAGAGGCGGUGGGGGGGGUGCAUUUUUGAGAACUUUUAAUUUCUGAAAUGUCAAGACCAUGAAAUUGAUUAAAAACCUUGCAUUUCAUGACCCCCCCCCCUUUCUUAGCUUUCCGAAUAAAAUUCAAAACCUUCCUUUGUCCUUAAAAAAUAUUAUCCUUUAUAUUUCAAAUGUCCUUUGAAAAAAUGCCUCAUCUGGUUUCGUAAAGACCAUUGGAUGAAAAUUAUGAAUCACAUCCUGGUUUUGAGGAGGAAUGCCCCCUACGCCACUUCAGACUGGUCAAAGCAUUAAGUAAUCAUCUCUCUGCUUAUUUUCCCUUCUUUCCUUAAAAAUUAAAUAGCAAUUCUUAUUCUCAGGGCAGGUUUAAAUAGAACAAUGAGAGCUAUUAUUAGUAGUAUAUGUUAUUUCUUUCUUCUAGAAUGUCAAAAAUAAUCUACCAUAUUCCCCUGACAAUCCUUUUUAUGGAGUCUUAAUGUCCUAAUUUUUAUUUUUGCUUGAGUGGAAACACCCAGAGGCUAUUUCUUAUUAUAAUCCAGUAAAUUAGAAAUGGAACAAGAACUAGAAACAAAAUCUCUAAAAUCUGGCUCACUAUUUCAGGGAAAUUUUAAAAGAAAAACAUACCUGAGAGAAGCAUACCUGCGUGUGAGAGUAAAUCUUUCUCACAAAAGUAAAAUGUCUCCCCUGUGUUUCUUUGCAUUAAAAAUCAGUUGCUAUCAGGAAAUAACAGAGACACGCAGGGCUGCAGUUAUAGACUGAAAACUACCUGCAAAAAUUAUUUCCCUAAGGUUCCCCCAAUUAUUCCGUUCUUGCCUCAGAUAAUAAAUAAACUUGCUCAGUUUUGAACAUCAAGUCUGACUCUUUGCGCUGAGAGAUCUCCAGGUGUCCCUGCUACAGGAAGAGUCAAGCUGGGUCCAAUCAAUUCUUCACAUGAUUGCCAGGCAAGGAGGUGGUAAACUCACAGCAGAAAAGACCAGAGGGAAACUGGCUCCUUCUCUGAGGCUGUAUACCAUUAGGAAAUUAAUAGUUGCAAGUUGGAGUAGGUCCAUCCAAGCCUUCAGCAUAUGCACAGCCCAGGAGAGGUUCACAGAGGAAGUGAACAUCCUCUUCCAUGGUACACACCACCAUAGUUUCUUGUAUCACACUGAACAUACACAAACAAAGAUUCUGAAUCAAGUAAUUUUUUUUUUAACCACUUGACAACACUGAAAUGUUUCAUGUAAUGUAUUCAGAAACCAGUGAUUGUGUCUCUUUACUAGCUUGUUGUGAAAGAUCAGUAGGAGUAGAGAUUCAGUAAAGAUUUUCUCAGGGAAGGCAAAUCAGUAACAACUGCCAGGAACUGCAAAAGCAUAUACUGUUGUUUAGUCGCCAAAUUGUGUCCAACUUGUUUAUA